UACGUAGGGGGCAAGCGUUGUCCGGAAUCAUUGGGCGUAAAGCGCGCGUAGGCGGCUCUGUAAGUCCGUUGUGAAAGUCAAAGGCUCAACCUUUGAAAGCCGAUGGAUACUGCAGAGCUAGAGUCCGGAAGAGGCGAGUGGAAUUCCUGGUGUAGCGGUGGAAUGCGCGGAUAUCAGGAGGAACACCAAUAGCGAAGGCAGCUCGCUGGGACGGUACUGACGCUAAGGCGCGAAAGCGUGGGGAGCGAACAGG
rnacentral:rRNA from 1 species